UGACUAGGGCUAUUAAGUUUUCCGUCCUUAGAUUAAAAGAUGUGUGGUUAGGAUGAUGUGGGCCCCCUAGGGUUGAGUGGGUGAUUGGUUGAAUAGUAUAAUCGAACGGUUGAAAAUGAUAAAAGAGGUAAAUCUAACGGCAGAAAACUUGAUAGUACAAAAUACUUCGUGCUAUUGAUAGUAUCUCAGCCGGACUCGCUCUCUCUCUCUCUCUCUCUCUUUCUCUCUUUAUAUAUAUAUAUAUAUAGUCCGACUGCUAUGCUAUCGAUAGCACCAAACACUUGGUGCUAUCAAGUUUUCUGCCGUUAGAUUAACCCCUUUGAUUAUUUUUACCCGUUAGAUUAUACUAUUCAACCAACCACCCACUCAACCCUAGGGGGCCCACAUCAUCCUAACUGCAUAUUUCUCAAUCCAAAGGCUAAAAAUUCAAUAGUACCAAUAACUUGGUACUAUUAAUAGUAUUCCAGCCUAGUUCUAUAUGUAUAUAUACUGUAUUUAUAACUAAUUAUUUAUAAUAAUUACUUCUUGAAUAAGAUACUCAACACC
rnacentral:lncRNA from 1 species